AGCGAACGCUGGCGGCAGGCCUAACACAUGCAAGUCGAGCGCCGUAGCAAUACGGAGCGGCAGACGGGAGAGUAACACGUGGGAACGUACCCUUUGGUUCGGAACAACCCAGGGAAACUUGGGCUAAUACCGGAUAAGCCCUCACGGAGAAAGAUUCAUCGCCGAAGGAUCGGCCCGCGUCUGAUUAGCUAGUUGGUGGGGUAAUGGCCCACCAAGGCGACGAUCAGUAGCUGGUCUGAGAGGAUGAUCAGCCUCACUGGGACUGAGACACGGCCCAGACUCCUACGGGAGGCAGCAGUGGGGAAUAUUGGACAAUGGGCGCAAGCCUGAUCCAGCCAUGCCGCGUGGGUGAUGAAGGCCCUAGGGUUGUAAAGCCCUUUCGGCGGGGAAGAUAAUGACGGUACCCGCAGAAGAAGCCCCGGCUAACUUCGUGCCAGCAGCCGCGGUAAUAC
rnacentral:rRNA from 1 species